rnacentral:rRNA from 1 species
CCUACGGGAGGCAGCAGUGGGGAAUAUUGGACAAUGGGGGCAACCCUGAUCCAGCCAUGCCGCGUGUGUGAAGAAGGCCCUCGGGUUGUAAAGCACUUUCAGUGAGGAAGAACGCCUGGUGGUUAAUACCCAUCAGGAAAGACAUCACUCACAGAAGAAGCACCGGCUAACUCCGUGCCAGCAGCCGCGGUAAUACGGAGGGUGCGAGCGUUAAUCGGAAUUACUGGGCGUAAAGCGCGCGUAGGUGGCUUGAUAAGCCGGUUGUGAAAGCCCCGGGCUCAACCUGGGAACGGCAUCCGGAACUGUCAAGCUAGAGUGCAGGAGAGGAAGGUAGAAUUCCCGGUGUAGCGGUGAAAUGCGUAGAGAUCGGGAGGAAUACCAGUGGCGAAGGCGGCCUUCUGGACUGACACUGACACUGAGGUGCGAAAGCGUGGGUAGCAAACAGUAUUAGAUACCCGUGUAGUC